GACGAACGCUGGCGGCGUGCCUAAUACAUGCAAGUAGAACGCUGAAGAGAGGAGCUUGCUCUUCUUGGAUGAGUUGCGAACGGGUGAGUAACGCGUAGGUAACCUGCCUUGUAGCGGGGGAUAACUAUUGGAAACGAUAGCUAAUACCGCAUAACAAUGGAUGACCCAUGUCAUUUAUUUGAAAGGGGCAAAUGCUCCACUACAAGAUGGACCUGCGUUGUAUUAGCUAGUAGGUGAGGUAACGGCUCACCUAGGCGACGAUACAUAGCCGACCUGAGAGGGUGAUCGGCCACACUGGGACUGAGACAGGGCCCAGACUCCUACGGGAGGCAGCAGUAGGGAAUCUUCGGCAAUGGGGGCAACCCUGACCGAGCAACGCCGCGUGAGUGAAGAAGGUUUUCGGAUCGUAAAGCUCUGUUGUAAGUCAAGAACGAGUGUGAGAGUGGAAAGUUCACACUGUGACGGUAGCUUACCAGAAAGGGACGGCUAACUACGUG
rnacentral:rRNA from 1 species